AGUAUUUUAGAAGGAAUGAGUUCCCACUCCUGCUCAUGUUACUAAGCAGAACAAGUUUCCCCACAUCUAGUAAGAAGACGGAUAUAUAGGAGCCAUGCUCAAAUGAAUUACCACCAUAAACACAGAAAUGAUGAGGCAUUGAAAUUUCAUUUAGCCAACGGCUGAAUCUCAGAAAUAGCCACACAUUUGAAAUCAAGCCAUUUUCUUGGGUACUGAUAAUUAAAAUUAGUGCUGCCACAAAGCCAGAAAGCAGGGCCUUCUGAGACCAGGAAAAGCCAUCUUCAUAAUGGAUACAGCACCCCUCUCCCCCAAGAGCACUAGACUGCGUGCCCCUCACAGGCAGCAGCUUUGCUCUUCUGCAUUGCCCGGCCUCCUGUCUGCCUCCUGGGAAGCAUGAACACAGACACUGCAGAAUAAAGGAAGGGAAAGCUCAGUAAAUAUGAGUAAGAAUCAUGC
rnacentral:lncRNA from 1 species